GACGAACGCUGGCGGCGUGCUUAACACAUGCAAGUCGAACGGAAAGGCCCCUUUGGGGGUACUCGAGUGGCGAACGGGUGAGUAACACGUGAGUAACCUGCCCUUGACUUCGGGAUAACUUCAGAAAACUGGGGCUAAUACCGGAUAGGAAUCCUUGCUGCAUGGUGGGGGUUGGAAAGCUUCGGCGGUUUUGGAUGGACUCGCGGCUUAUCAGCUUGUUGGUGGGGUAGUGGCUUACCAAGGCUUUGACGGGUAGCCGGCCUGAGAGGGCGACCGGCCACAUUGGGACUGAGAUACGGCCCAGACUCCUACGGGAGGCAGCAGUGGGGAAUAUUGCACAAUGGGCGGAAGCCUGAUGCAGCAACGCCGCGUGCGGGAUGACGGCCUUCGGGUUGUAAACCGCUUUCAGCAGGGGCGAAGCUUGUGGUGACGGUACCUGCAGAAGAAGCACCGGCUAACUACGUG
rnacentral:rRNA from 1 species